rnacentral:rRNA from 1 species
CGGACGGGUGAGUAAUGCCUAGGAAUCUGCCUGGUAGUGGGGACAACGUUUCGAAAGGAACGCUAAUACCGCAUACGUCCUACGGGAGAAAGCAGGGACCUUCGGGCCUUGCGCUAUCAGAUGAGCCUAGGUCGGAUUAGCUAGUUGGUGAGGUAAUGGCUCACCAAGGCGACGAUCCGUAACUGGUCUGAGAGGAUGAUCAGUCACACUGGAACUGAGACACGGUCCAGACUCCUACGGGAGGCAGCAGCA